GCUGGCGGCGUGCUUAACACAUGCAAGUCGAACGGAAAGGCCCUGCUUUUGUGGGGUGCUCGAGUGGCGAACGGGUGAGUAACACGUGAGUAACCUGCCCUUGACUUUGGGAUAACUUCAGGAAACUGGGGCUAAUACCGGAUAGGAGCUCCUGCUGCAUGGUGGGGGUUGGAAAGUUUCGGCGGUUGGGGAUGGACUCGCGGCUUAUCAGCUUGUUGGUGGGGUAGUGGCUUACCAAGGCUUUGACGGGUAGCCGGCCUGAGAGGGUGACCGGCCACAUUGGGACUGAGAUACGGCCCAGACUCCUACGGGAGGCAGCAGUGGGGAAUAUUGCACAAUGGGCGGAAGCCUGAUGCAGCAACGCCGCGUGCGGGAUGACGGCCUUCGGGUUGUAAACCGCUUUCGCCUGUGACGAAGCGUGAGUGACGGUAAUGGGUAAAGAAGCACCGGCUAACUACGUGCCAGCAGCCGCGGUGAUACGUAGGGUGCGAGCGUUGUCCGGAUUUAUUGGGCGUAAAGGGCUCGUAGGUGGUUGAUCGCGUCGGAAGUGUAAUCUUGGGGCUUAACCCUGAGCGUGCUUUCGAUACGGGUUGACUUGAGGAAGGUAGGGGAGAAUGGAAUUCCUGGUGGAGCGGUGGAAUGCGCAGACAUCAGGAGGAACACCAGUGGCGAAGGCGGUUCUCUGGGCCUUUCCUGACGCUGAGGAGCGAAAGCGUGGGGAGCGAACAGGCUUAGAUACCCUGGUAGUCCACGCUGUAAACGGUGGGUACUAGGUGUGGGGUCCAUUCCACGGGUUCCGUGCCGUAGCUAACGCUUUAAGUACCCCGCCUGGGGAGUACGGCCGCAAGGCUAAAACUCAAAGGAAUUGACGGGGCCCCGCACAAGCGGCGGAGCAUGCGGAUUAAUUCGAUGCAACGCGUAGAACCUUACCUGGGUUUGACAUGGAUCGGGAGUGCUCAGAGAUGGGUGUGCCUCUUUUGGGGUCGGUUCACAGGUGGUGCAUGGCUGUCGUCAGCUCGUGUCGUGAGAUGUUGGGUUAAGUCCCGCAACGAGCGCAACCCUUGUUCACUGUUGCCAGCACGUUAUGGUGGGGACUCAGUGGAGACCGCCGGGGUCAACUCGGAGGAAGGUGGGGAUGACGUCAAGUCAUCAUGCCCCUUAUGUCCAGGGCUUCACGCAUGCUACAAUGGCUGGUACAGAGAGUGGCGAGCCUGUGAGGGUGAGCGAAUCUCGGAAAGCCGGUCUCAGUUCGGAUUGGGGUCUGCAACUCGACCUCAUGAAGUCGGAGUCGCUAGUAAUCGCAGAUCAGCAACGCUGCGGUGAAUACGUUCCCGGGGCUUGUACACACCGCCCGUCAAGUCAUGAAAGUUGGUAACACCCGAAGCCGGUGGCCUAACCGUUGUGGGGGAGCCGUCGAAGGUGGGACUGGUGAUUAGG
rnacentral:rRNA from 1 species